AGAGGCUUAGGAUAACCUAAACCAAGGGCCUUCAAAGCCCUAAACGAGGGUGAAACCCCCUCAGCCCCUG
rnacentral:tRNA from 1 species